GACGAACGCUGGCGGCGUGCUUAACACAUGCCAGUCGAACGGAAAGGCCCUGCUUUUGUGGGGUGCUCGAGUGGCGAACGGGUGAGUAACACGUGAGUAACCUGCCCUUGACUUUGGGAUAACUUCAGGAAACUGGGACUAAUACCGGAUAGGAGCUCCUGCUGCAUGGUGGGGGUUGGAAAGUUUCGGCGGUUGGGGAUGGACUCGCGGCUUAUCAGCUUGUUGGUGGGGUAGUGGCUUACCAAGGCUUUGACGGGUAGCCGGCCUGAGAGGGUGACCGGCCACAUUGGGACUGAGAUACGGCCCAGACUCAUACGGGAGGCAGCAGUGGGGAAUAUUGCACAAUGGGCGGAAGCCUGAUGCAGCAACGCCGCGUGCGGGAUGACGGCCUUCGGGUUGUAAACCGCUUUCGCCUGUGACGAAGCGUGAGUGACGGUAAUGGGUAAAGAAGCACCGGCUAACUACGUG
rnacentral:rRNA from 1 species